UCAUCCUUGAGUAGCGAUGAGUGGCUUCUCCAGAGAUGGUAUACUAAUAAAAACAUAUUAGUCAAUUCACGUAGGGUAUAUUUAGUGUUUUUCUGUGUGGUGUUUUAUACAAGAGUGUUUUGGGUUACUGUGGUUUCGUGAGUUUGUUUAGAUGAACCUCGAUGUAGGCGUUCCAGAAUUCAUUAUGGAUUUUCCCUUGUUGCCACCCGCAGUCACUUCUCCAAGUUCGCAUCAGAUGGUGUAACGUGAAUUUGCCAUAUAUUUUGAUCUGUGUUCGAGCCAUAGGUCUAGGUUAGCGAAGAGUGCAGAAGCUGUUCUCAAUGGAUGGAACUACAGGCAAUUGUGGGUAACUGUCCAAACCAGUCAUGCAAGCAGCAGUCUGCACCCAGCAAAUCCCAAUAUCCAUGGGACCUGCCCUAAGAUUUGGCCAGUCCUGAGAUCCUCAUAAGCAUGUUUGUGGCCACGACUGGAAGAUGAUCUACGAUAAAUCGUCUGGAACUUAAUCCAUUGCUUGUAAGUUGAUCCAGUGAUAUCAGGCUGAAGGAGCAAAGGGAAUGCUGAAAAGUACUCGAGGCUUGACCCCAGAUCAGUCUGUUCUUCGUGCAAAUCCUAGCUAUACAGUGUGUCCUGUGGUUUCCUCAGGGAAGAUAUAUUCCCUUAACUCAAGUUCUGAUGCUACAAACCAUACCCUAGCCCAAAAUUGUAUCAAGGAGAAUGAUAUUAGCUGAAAAUGAUUGUUAUUCUUAUGGCUUUAUUAAAUGUUAAAUUUUU